rnacentral:rRNA from 1 species
GGUCCCCUACGGGAGGCAGCAGUAGGGAAUCUUCCACAAUGGACGAAAGUCUGAUGGAGCAACGCCGCGUGAGUGAAGAAGGGUUUCGGCUCGUAAAGCUCUGUUGGUAGUGAAGAAAGAUAGAGGUAGUAACUGGCCUUUAUUUUACGGUAAUUACUUUGAAAGUCACGGCUAACUACGUGCCAGCAGCCGCGGUAAUACGUAGGUGGCAAGCGUUGUCCGGAUUUAUUGGG